CUAAAUCGACCCUGCAACGGUCUCCUUCCUCCACGGGAAGGAGCUAAGAGGGAAUGCGGUGCGGGCGAAAUCCCAAAUCCGCGGCUGUCCCCGCAACUGUGAGCGACGAGCCAGGGCCGAUAACCACUGGGAUUUUCCCGGGAAGGCGGCACCAUGGCGACGACCCGCAAGCCAGGAGACCUGCCGUCGCAAGGAAGAUGAA
rnacentral:ncRNA from 2 species